rnacentral:rRNA from 1 species
GGCUCACACCGGUUUAAACUCAGAUCAUGUAAAAUUUUAAAGGUCGAACAGACAUAAUCAAUCAGCCUCUACACCAACAAUAUAUUUUAAUCCAACAUCGAGGUCGCAAUCUUUACUUUCAAUAAGAACUCUAAGAAAAAUUACGCUGUUAUCCCUAAGGUAAUUUAAUCUUAUAAUCUAAAUUCUAGGAUCAAAAACUUACAAACAAAUAUUUUAAAUAAAAAAAAGUUAAACUAGUUUUUCUAUCACCCCAAUAAAAUACAUAUAUUAAAUAUAAAAAUAAAUAAUAUUCUACUAUUCAAAUACAUAUAUAAAACUCUAUAGGGUCUUCUCGUCUUCCAUGAACAUUUAAGCUUUUUAACUUAAAAAUAAAAUUUUAACAAAUUUUCUUAGAGACAGUUAUUUUCUCAUCAAACCUUUCAUGCAAGCUUUCAAUUAAAAAACUAAUGAUUACGCUACCUUUGCACGGUCAAUAUACCGCGGCCAUUUAAUAACUCAGUGGGCAGGCCAGACCUAAAAUUAUAAUCAAUAAGCCAUGUUUUUAAUAC